AUUUCCGUAGGUGAACCUGCGGAAGGAUCAUUACUGUGAUUUAGUACUACACUGCGUGAGCGGAACGAAAACAACAACACCUAAAAUGUGGAAUAUAGCAUAUAGUCGACAAGAGAAGUCUACGAAAAACAAACAAAACUUUCAACAACGGAUCUCUUGGUUCUCGCAUCGAUGAAGAGCGCAGCGAAAUGCGAUACCUAAUGUGAAUUGCAGCCAUCGUGAAUGAUCGAGUUCUUGAACGCACAUUGCGCCCCUCGGCAUUCCGGGGGGCAUGCCUGUUUGAGCGUCGUUUCCAUCUUGCGCGUGCGCAGAGUUGGGGGAGCGGAGCGGACGACGUGUAAAGAGCGUCGGAGCUGCGACUCGCCUGAAAGGGUGCGAAGCUGGCCGAGCGAUCUAGACUUUUUUUCAGGGACGCUUGGCGGCCGAGAGCGAGUGUCGCGAGACAACAAAAUGCUCGUCCUCAAAUCAGGUAGGAAUACCCGCUGAACUUAAGCAUAUCAAUAAGCGGAGGAAU
rnacentral:rRNA from 1 species